GGCCUCCCUCCCUUGGGGUUAUGGGGGUUCUGUUUACUCCUCAGCCAAGGAGGAGUCCAAGAUCAGCCCUUGAGGAUCAUCAUCAGAACUGCCACAAGGUAGACAGCCUUGUUUUCCUGCCUAAGACAUUU